rfam:Musca domestica strain aabys unplaced genomic scaffold Scaffold130, whole genome shotgun sequence.
AGCCUUGCGCAGCGGUAAUAUCGUAACCAAUGAAGUUUAGCUGAGGUGCGAUUAUUGCUAGUUGAAAACUUUAACCAAUACCUCGUCAUAGUGGACGUGAAAUACCGUCCUCUAUGCCAAUUUUUGAAAGCCCGCAAGGGC